CCUGCAAAAAGCUGUAACAAAAAAUGUAACGGGUUCGGUGUUUGUGGUGGUCCGUGAUGCUUUUGUGCACUUUGUGCGUUGUUAAUCCACGAAAUGUGUGGCUAUCUCGUUGUUCCGUCCUCUGUUCCGGCGAACCACGAUACGGCGAGACGACCAUCGACAGGAGCAAGCAGCAGCUAGAAAAUGAAUCGAAAUCCAUCGCUGCUGCCUAUUUUGAAGAAGUUUUUGAUCAUCUCCCCGAAGAAGAUCCAAACGGAACGGUCGAUUCGGGAACAAUUUCUGGCUUCGGAAACCAACCAGAACUAAAUCUUCAGCCCUCAGUAGAGAAGUGAGCACCACGAAAAAAUCAGCACCGAGGAGAUGUUGCUGAAUCACUUUGAUGUCUGCCAUCGGUUCUCGGACUCGGAAGCGAACCGGUCUAGCCCGGUGCCGAUUGUUCGAAUAGCAACGAUUGGACCAUGACGACGACACGGGAAAGGAUGUGCCAAUAACCCAGGCUGCGUGGAAGAUUCAUGUAAUCUUGCCUACCGAAAGAAAGGAAGUUUCCGGGAAAAAAUUAUUGAAUAUUUUUAAUUCAUAAUGGAUAUUGAAUAUGUACUUGUUGCGUCUGAUAAUCAAUAAUAAUAUUUUUCAAGUGGAUUGAUUAUUUUUUUCCCUCAAAAAACAAUAAAACAGGUAAUUACACAAAAAAUUUCAUUUUAGUUUUUACAAGCUCAGGUCGACUAUAGUUUCCAACCCGAUGGUUCACUUGUUUUAAUUAAAAUGAUACUUUUUUGUACGUAAGUACUUGUUUUAUUGUUUCUUAUUGAAUUCAUUGAUCAUUUCUUCACUCUUGAUAGAAACAUAAAAGAGCAAUACAAUAUAGGGUAAAAAUACCAUAACGCACAAUAAACCAACACUACUGCA